CCUACGGGUGGCAGCAGUGGGGAAUAUUGGACAAUGGGCGAAAGCCUGAUCCAGCCAUGCCGCGUGUGUGAAGAAGGCCUUCGGGUUGUAAAGCACUUUCAGUGGGGAAGAAAGCCUUGGGGCUAAUACCCUCGAGGAAGGACAUCACCCACAGAAGAAGCACCGGCUAACUCCGUGCCAGCAGCCGCGGUAAUACGGAGGGUGCGAGCGUUAAUCGGAAUUACUGGGCGUAAAGCGCGCGUAGGCGGUCUGAUAAGCCGGUUGUGAAAGCCCCGGGCUCAACCUGGGAACGGCAUCCGGAACUGUCAGGCUAGAGUGCAGGAGAGGAAGGUAGAAUUCCCGGUGUAGCGGUGAAAUGCUUAGAGAUCGGGAGGAAUACCAGUGGCGAAGGCGGCCUUCUGGACUGACACUGACGCUGAGGUGCGAAAGCGUGGGUAGCAAACAGGAUUAGAUACCCGAGUAGUC
rnacentral:rRNA from 1 species